rnacentral:rRNA from 1 species
GACGAACGCUGGCGGCGUGCCUAAUACAUGCAAGUUGAGCGCUGAAGGUUGGUACUUGUACCAACUGGAUGAGCAGCGAACGGGUGAGUAACGCGUGGGGAAUCUGCCUUUGAGCGGGGGACAACAUUUGGAAACGAAUGCUAAUACCGCAUAGAAACUUUAAACACAAGUUUUAAGUUUGAAAGAUGCAAUUGCAUCACUCAAAGAUGAUCCCGCGUUGUAUUAGCUAGUUGGUGAGGUAAAGGCUCACCAAGGCGAUGAUACAUAGCCGACCUGAGAGGGUGAUCGGCCACAUUGGGACUGAGACACGGCCCAAACUCCUACGGGAGGCAGCAGUAGGGAAGCUUCGGCAAUGGACGAAAGUCUGACCGAGCAACGCCGCGUGAGUGAAGAAGGUUUUCGGAUCGUAAAACUCUGUUGGUAGAGAAGAACGUUGGUGAGAGUGGAAAGCUCAUCAAGUGACGGUAACUACCCAGAAAGGGACGGCUAACUACGUG